GAUCCGUAAUCCGGGUUGCGGACAGUGUCUGGUGGGUAGUUUGACUGGGGCGGUCUCCUCCUAAAGAGUAACGGAGGAGCACGAAGGUUGGCUAAUCCUGGUCGGACAUCAGGAGGUUAGUGCAAUGGCAUAAGCCAGCUUGACUGCGAGCGUGACGGCGCGAGCAGGUGCGAAAGCAGGUCAUAGUGAUCCGGUGGUUCUGAAUGGAAGGGCCAUCGCUCAACGGAUAAAAGGUACUCCGGGGAUAACAGGCUGAUACCGCCCAAGAGUUCAUAUCGACGGCGGUGUUUGGCACCUCGAUGUCGGCUCAUCACAUCCUGGGGCUGAAGUAGGUCCCAAGGGUAUGGCUGUUCGCCAUUUAAAGUGGUACGCGAGCUGGGUUUAGAACGUCGUGAGACAGUUCGGUCCCUAUCUGCCGUGGGCGCUGGAGAACUGAGGGGGGCUGCUCCUAGUACGAGAGGACCGGAGUGGACGCAUCACUGGUGUUCGGGUUGUCAUGCCAAUGGCACUGCCCGGUAGCUAAAUGCGGAAGAGAUAAGUGCUGAAAGCAUCUAAGCACGAAACUUGCCCCGA
rnacentral:rRNA from 2 species